rnacentral:lncRNA from 1 species
UGAGAGCUCUGCAGUCUCUGGGCGAAAAAAAGCUUUUUUUGUGAGUGGUCAGGCAGGGAACACUGACACUGGAGCGCGCAUGCACGAGACGACUCCAUGUUUUUCUUUCUCUCUUUGAACGAAUACAACGUCGCCCGGUUGGAAUAUUAUCGCUAUUUUACGAGAAAAAUCGCAGAAAAAUGGAUUUUAAACAGCGUUUGACAUGCUUCGAAGUACGGUAAUGGAAUAUUUUGAAUUUUUGUCACGAAAUGCGCCCGCGCGUCACCCUUCGGAUACUGACCUCAACGCACGAACAAAACGGAGCUAUUUCAAUAUAACUAUGGAUUAUUUCGAACCAAAACAACAUUUGUUGUUGAAGUAGAAGUCCUGGGAGUGCAUUCUGACGAAGAACAGCAAAGGCUGUAAAGCAUCUCAACUGACAAUUGGAGACAUUUUAAGUAUUCUUUAUCGGCUACAGGGAACUGAACCUGGAGGCUGUGGACCAAAGGCAUCAUGGAAAAAGCAAGGCUGCACUUCUCGCACACAAACCCCAAGGGCUCCAAGUCCCUGGAGAAUUGUAGAAUGCUGGGGAAAGGAGGGUACAUUACAUAAGUACAGUUGCGGCCAAAUAUAUUGGCAACCUUAGACUUUCCUUAAAUAACCUCACUUGGGAUUUGAACUCACAACCUCUCAGUUGCCAGUGACCUGAAUUUCCUGCUACACCACUGGCUUUGUGGGUUUGAUUAAGAUUGUUAAAAGAUUAGAACGAAUAGACAUUGUGAUUUGUCCCUAUGGGGGUACACUUUUGGGUGCCACGUAGAACACUUAGAUACUUUUUUUUUAUCCUGUAGGGGAAUAAUUUGGGAUAUACACAGAACCCUGUCAUGAAAAACCCUCUGGUUACAGAGUUAUGCAAUUUGUCCCUGUGGGGGAACCCUUAUGUGUGCCAUGUAGAACCCUUUGAUUUGUCCCUGUAGGGGAACCCUUUUGAGUUUUAUUUAGAACCCGAUCAUUAAGAACCCUCUGGUUCCAGGUAGAAGUAAUAACAGCUUCUAUUGUUAUGCUCAUAGGAUACUUCAUAUGUGCUUAUGGCACACAGUUAAAAAUUACCUGUAAAAUGACAUGUUGUUUACCUUACAUGCACUGCACUUUGUUUGAAAUGAAGGUGAGGGCAAUGUGCUGGUGGGGGCUCAUUAGCAUAUUUGGGGCCAUGGUCUAAAAUAUGUUGUAUUAGUGCCAACCAUUAGUGGAAGUGUUGAACCACUUUAAUUUUAUUGUUAUGUUGAUGAAGGUUGAGGGCUACAGCGAGGCGCAACGGUGGUAUGUACUGGGAGUUGCUGGUGCCGCUGCUGCUGCACAUUUGUCCACGCCCAGUGCAUACCACCAUUGCUCCUCGCCUUUGCCCUCGACCUUCAUCAACAUAACAAUAUGCUGAAAGGUGCAUACACUGCCACCUAUGGUACUGGAACAGAACAGCUACCACUAACUGUAUCGCCCUGGCCAUAGAGAGGGUUUUUUUGUUCUUUAUUUUGGUUAGGCCAGGGUGUUACAUUGGGUGGGCGUUCCAUGUUCCUUUUUCUAUGUUUUUGUAUUUCUUUGUUUUGGGCCGUGUGUGGCUCCCAAUCAGGCACAGCUGAAACUCGUUGUUGCUGAUUGGGAGUCACACAUAAGGAGCAUGUUUUUCCUUUGGGUUUUGUGGGUAAUUGUUUCUGUUAGUGUUUGCACCGGACAUGACUGUUGGCUGUC